rnacentral:rRNA from 1 species
UACGUAGGGUGCAAGCGUUGUCCGGAAUUAUUGGGCGUAAAGAGCUCGUAGGCGGUCUGUCGCGUCGGAUGUGAAAAUCCAGGGCUUAACCCUGGACCUGCAUUCGAUACGGGCAGACUAGAGUUCGGUAGGGGGGAGUGGAAUUCCUGGUGUAGCGGUGAAAUGCGCAGAUAUCAGGAGGAACACCGGUGGCGAAGGCGGGUCUCUGGGCCGAUACUGACGCUGAGGAGCGAAAGCGUGGGGAGCGAACAGG